rnacentral:snRNA from 1 species
GGAUGUGAGGGCGAUCUGGCUGCGACAUCUGUCACCCCACUGACCGCCAGGGGUGAUUCAGCUGCUCUGGCUGGCUGGGCGGGUGUCCCCUUCCUCCCUCAAUGCUCCACGUGCGUCCCUCCUGAACCUGCAUAUUCAGUCAAAGAGGACGACCACCCCAAUAGAGGAGGACGGUUCUUCAGUCAGGGAUAUACGAGAGCUGCGCUCCCCUGCUAGAACCUCCAAACAAGCUCUUAAGGUACAAUUACUUAUGUCAACAUAUUUCAUUCAAGUUUCAACUGCAGGCAACUAGCAUAGUAUCUAGAACACAAAUAGUUCUGUGAUAAACU